UCCCAUAACAACAAGUACAUUUUUAACAACACUGUAGUUGUCUGUGCCAUUUUAAAUAAAGUUUAUUUAAAAAGAAAAUUGAACAGCAGUUUGAGAAGAGUCAGUUGGAGCUUUGGGGAGGAAAGAGCUGGCGACGCCAUUACGCAGAGAUGAGCAGCUGAGAGAGGGGAGACAUGUAAGCUGAAAAUUGCAUGAGAGAGUAAACAGAAGUGCAAAAUACAGCAGUGGAAGUGCAGCAAUUAACAAGUAAGAACGCCAUGACACUCUCAGCCAAGAGAGUGCACAGCAAGUGUCAGAGACAGGAGAGUAUAAAGCCUUUAUACCAAUGCUGACUGGCCUACAUCUGAGGGGAAACUGCCUCAGCAACAUCUAUUGACUGGGUGAGAUAAAUCCAUAUGUAUACUGAAACCUACUCCACUGCAAAGGACAUUAUCCUAUAUUUACUAUACCUAUGCAGCGAUUUACAUGGGAAGCAGCUCCAGUUUGUUUUAAACAAUCAUCUUUACUACACAGAGCUACAAUAUUUUGUUCACAGCUAAAGGAGACCAUAGCGGCAUAUCACUAUGUAACAACAUAACCGGGCCCCAACGUGCACAUAGAGACUCUCUGCAGUGACACCAAUGUUAUCUGGGACUUAAAUAUUGUCUGCAUAGGUUGAUUUCUAUUACUAAGCAACAUAGUAUUAAUCUCAGAUUUAGUUAUAUUGCCAUUUGUGUAAUGACUUAAAGUGUAUAUGGUGUCUGUGUUUAAGUUGCUUGAAUCAAAUCUUUCCCUUCCCUACUGUAAUCAGUUCCUUUUCUGAGUUAUGUAGUAAACCAUUUAUUCUUUCAUAUAAAGCCCUGACUGCCUUUCUUUGUGUCUGGGGAAACCUUGCCUCUCUGCCAGGAAUAGAGAAGAGCUGCUGCUGAAGGAGGAAUAGUCCAUCAAGGUAUCCCUGACCUGUUCCACAUAGUUUACACACUUGUUGUACCGGGGUAUAACAUUUGGCGUCACGAACAGGAUUUGCAGAGUCCAAAGCAAGCCGUACCCCCAGCACAGAGAAGAUGUCACAAAACAGGCAACCUGCAGGAGAGGGACCAGCACCCAUUGUUGAAGAUACUGUAAGAGCAGCUCCAGUCAUGACUCCUGCUACCCCAAUCACCAUGCCAUACCACUUUGGGGCCCCUUGGCUCCCAAUCUACACAGGUAUUGCCCACAGCCCUGAAACCAGUAUCUUAGGAGAUUUCAAGAUGAAAAUGCAGUCUAUGUUUCGUCUGUACCCGCUGAAGGAGCAGCAAAAGGUGGAGAUCUUGAUAGGACAGUUGAAAGGGCUUGCACUAAGAGAGGUUACUUCCUGGCCUACUGAAGAGAAGAAGACUGUGGACCAGAUCCUCAACAGGCUUGCUACAACAUUUGACACAAGGACAGUGUCAGAACUUAAAAUGCACUUCUUUGCUCGAAAGCAACAACCAGGAGAGUCACUACGGGGCUAUGCCCUCAGCUUGCAGGAAGCACUCAGAGAUGUUCAGCAAGCAGACCCUGAGGAAGUGCAUGACAAAGAGAAAAUGUUAUUGGACCAGUUCACUGAAGGUGCAAGGGGCGAAUUUGUAAAAACUCAGCUGCGACUAUUGAGAUUGCAGAAGCCUGGAAGCACAUUCCUGGAUUUUAAAGAGGCUGCGAUUAAAGUUCUAGGCUCCAGCCUUACUUCAGGGGCUGUUCCACAAGAGUCUAUUCCAGAUAUACCAAGGUAUCAAGAGAAUUCUGAUGCCCAGGAGUCAAGUUUUAAAGGAGCUACUUACCCACCUGCAGUAAAAGGAGUGACAGUGCCAUGUUCAAAGACAUGCAUAUCUGACUCUUCUAGUGAGUUACGAGGUCAGCUGGCUGAACUGACACGUGGUGUGACAGAAAUGUGCAGAGAGCUGCAGAUUCUGAAGAGACAGCAAGCACUGCUCCAGGAAGAAAUGGAAUGGUGCAAAGAGAGGAGACCACUGAACAGUUCCCAAUGGGACCUAUAUAGAAACAGGGAGACACUUUUUUCCAACCACUUUGCCUCCCAAAGGCGACCCAUUUUUCAAAGCUGUGAAGGCAGCAGACAAAUUAAGAGAGAAUUUGAGCAGCCAGAUCGUUUAAACUCCAAAUCCAUGUGGUUAACCCGUUAUGUUAGCCAAUGCCCGGUGGUUCAAGUUUGUAUCAAUGGUGUAUCAAUGCCCGCUCUCUUAGACACUGGAUCACAAGUGACCACAAUACAAGCAACAAAGUUUGAGCAGCAUUGGACUGAGGAACAGAUGUUUCCAUCAGCUUCCACAUUGAUAAACCCGAUUGCAAGCAAUGGGCACUGCAUCCCUUGCAAAGGAUACUGGGAAGCUGAAAUUCAAAUUGGACGAACAGUGCUACCACAGCAAGGCUUCAUCAUCACCACUGUCCAAGAUGAUGGAUUGCCUCCAGUGAUAGUGGGCAUGAAUGUGUUGCGGAACUGCUGUGAGGAGCUCGUAGCAGCACUCCAAGGAGAGUUUCAAACUGACAAGCUCCAGGAGAAACACAGCCUUCAACCUGGGAUAGCCAUACAAAAGGGAAGAAUUAUAACAGAAUUAGCUGUAAGAGAGGAACAUGGAAAAAAUAAGGCUAGCCAAACAAUCACAGAAAUGCCCAUCUCCAGUGUCCAGAUUAUCCGAAAGAAUACUUCAAUGUUAGGCAUGAAUAAUAUAGCAUCCGGUUCUCGAAACUGUGAGCAACCUAUUCAAGGAACCAGUUUUGACCACCUGCAAGAUAAAAGUCAGAUGAUAAGACACCUCAAAGCCUUACUGAAGACUGGGAAAUACCUGACCAAGCGACAAAGGCAAGAAUCCUCGCCAGAACUCCUGAAGUUGCUGAGACAGCGAGAAAGGCUGUUUGAAGAGAAAGGACAGUUGGUUCGAUGUAGUGUGGAUCCUAAUACUCAUUAUAGGAUCAGCCAACUUGUAAUUCCAAGACAAAGUGCUUGUUAUGUGCUUGAAGAAUAUCAUGACAAGUCAGGUCACCCUGGGUGCAAAAGGAUGGAAACAAGCAUCUGGAAUAAGUUCUUUUGGGUUGAAAUGAGGGAAGACAUCAAGAGAUGGUGCCGAAACUGUCCAACCUGUUCUGUAAGAAGAACCUUGCUGCCUCUUUCUCUCCAGAAUCCAUUGUCCAAAACUAGCUGUGAGACUGAAUCCCAAGAUGGAAUGGAAGAGGCUCAUAAAAUGUAUUUACAGCAGACUAAGGUGGUUUGUCACCGACAAGGAGGCAAGAAGACUAGGGCUUGCAAAACAGAAAACCACCAUAGUCAGCUGCAGUUUUGUACAGCAUGUCCCAAAGACAGUUUAGAAAGAGUUCAAUACUCAUCCAUGGCAGGAGGGUUGAGGUUUCCUAGACAAACUUUUCAAGACCAUAUACUGUCCAGAUUUCAACCUAUUGCUCCAGGAGCAUAUGUUAAUGUACUAUAGCACAAAAGGAAUUAUACCGAUCAGAUACUGAUGUUAAAAAUGUUGGUAAAUGUUAAUGUUUCAGACAUAAACUGUGUUCACUAAUGAAUGUGACUGGAUAUAGUGAGAAGUUUAUAUAGGGAUAAAACCGAAAUGCGUGAGGACACGCAUGUUUUGGGGGGGUUACGUGUGAUAUCCCAUAACAACAAGUACAUUUUUAACAACACUGUAGUUGUCUGUGCCAUUUUAAAUAAAGUUUAUUUAAAAAGAAAAUUGAACAGCAGUUUGAGAAGAGUCAGUUGGAGCUUUGGGGAGGAAAGAGCUGGCGACGCCAUUACGCAGAGAUGAGCAGCUGAGAGAGGGGAGACAUGUAAGCUGAAAAUUGCAUGAGAGAGUAAACAGAAGUGCAAAAUACAGCAGUGGAAGUGCAGCAAUUAACAACCCUGACUGCCUUUCUUUGUGUCUGGGGAAACCUUGCCUCUCUGCCAGGAAUAGAGAAGAGCUGCUGCUGAAGGAGGAAUAGUCCAUCAAGGUUUUGGGGAACAAACAAAUUGUUCAUAAAAGACGAACAAUAUAGUUAUUCUGAUGCAGCUGCAGAGUAAAGGAGAAGCACAUAUGGUAUCUUAUUGUAAAUUCACUUAGGAUAAAGGUAAUAACAAAUGU